rnacentral:rRNA from 1 species
GAUGAACGCUGGCGGCGUGCCUAAUACAUGCCAGUCGAGCGAACAGACGAGGAGCUUGCUCCUCUGACGUUAGCGGCGGACGGGUAAGUAACACGUGGAUAACCUACCUAUAAGACUGGGAUAACUUCGGGAAACCGGAGCUAAUACCGGAUAAUAUAUUGAACCGCAUGGUUCAAUAGUGAAAGACGGUUUUGCUGUCACUUAUAGAUGGAUCCGCGCCGCAUUAGCUAGUUGGUAAGGUAACGGCUUACCAAGGCGACGAUGCGUAGCCGACCUGAGAGGGUGAUCGGCCACACUGGAACUGAGACACGGUCCAGACUCCUACGGGAGGCAGCAGUAGGGAAUCUUCCGCAAUGGGCGAAAGCCUGACGGAGCAACGCCGCGUGAGUGAUGAAGGUCUUCGGAUCGUAAAACUCUGUUAUUAGGGAAGAACAAAUGUGUAAGUAACUAUGCACGUCUUGACGGUACCUAAUCAGAAAGCCACGGCUAACUACGU